rfam:Prevotella sp. CAG:5226 genomic scaffold, scf80
UUCUUUUUACGAAAGUCAUGGAGUAAAGCUUGCCGUAAGAAGUCAGCCGAGGUCAUAGUAGCAAGACAAGUCGAUAUUUUCUUGUGAAGGAC